AGAGGAUUAUGUGAAGUUACUGCUAAUAACUUUGUGUCAGUUAAUUCUGACUUCUCUUU
rnacentral:tRNA from 3 species